AUUGAACGCUGGCGGCAGGCCUAACACAUGCAAGUCGAGCGGAUGAAGGGAGCUUGCUCCUGGAUUCAGCGGCGGACGGGUGAGUAAGGCCUAGGAAUCUGCCUGGCAGUGGGGGAUAACGUCCGGAAACGGGCGCUAAUACCGCAUACGUCCUGAGGGAGAAAGUGGGGGAUCUUCGGACCUCACGCUAUCAGAUGAGCCUAGGUCGGAUUAGCUAGUUGGUGGGGUAAAGGCCUACCAAGGCGACGAUCCGUAACUGGUCUGAGAGGAUGAUCAGUCACACUGGAACUGAGACACGGUCCAGACUCCUACGGGAGGCAGCAGUGGGGAAUAUUGGACAAUGGGCGAAAGCCUGAUCCAGCCAUGCCGCGUGUGUGAAGAAGGUCUUCGGAUUGUAAAGCACUUUAAGUUGGGAGGAAGGGAAGUAAGUUAAUACCUUGCUGUUUUGACGUUACCAACAGAAUAAGCACCGGCUAACUUCGUG
rnacentral:rRNA from 1 species